UACAGUGAAUAGAACGGCUUUGAUUAUCACUUGGCUGCCAAAUUGCCAAUCCGUUCACCCCUCCUCUCUCUCUCUUGUUGUCGUUGUCUUUCCUCUUUCCUAUCGCAAUUGAUUUAGCACUCCAAAAUUGGUACAAUUUGACCGCUGUUAUAGGGGGCUUUCAAUAGGAAAAAGGACUCACAGAGAGAAUCAAUCAAUAUGAAGUCUGAAGAUUAUUAUUCGGCCCCCAACCAGGUGGUCACGCCUUAUCACCCACUCAGAGAAUAGGUGGGGUGAUGGAAAACAGCUGACCAGCACGAAGUCGAAGAAGUUGAUGAAGACCACCUUUCUCAUGGAUCGGAGGAAAAUCCAUGCGAGUCCCUUACUAAUGUUGGUGUUGUAGAGUAGCCAUCGCUGGGAACUAGUGAGGACGUGACCCACCAGAAUGAUUUCAGUGUCACAGCGUAGUUGGUUCAACGAAAUCAAUUCCAAGUGUUUUGAGUAAAUUUUUAAGGGUGACAUGUGGCAGACAACUGUUGGGGAGUUUAGUUUCCGACUUGGUCGGAGAUGACAAGGUUCCUCGAGCCGUUUUGUAAAUUUGAAGGGUUUGGCCCUCGGCCGUGUUUCAGAUUGUAGAACAUUGAUAGAUUUUCUAUUCUUAAAUCAAAUUGUUGGUUUGGCUUUUAUUA